GGUUUCUGCUGAGAUCAGGCCGCGUUGAGGUCCUGGCAGCACUGGGUCCGGGGUGCUUUGUGCCCGAGUCUGAUCGGUCCUGCCGUCCUGACACUGCUUCCCGCAGCGGUUCCGGCUCCUGACGUUCUGCUCCGGUCCUGAGGAACACGUCAGCUUCUAAAGCCCCUUGGAGUUUUCCAG